rnacentral:rRNA from 1 species
CAGUCGCCGCGGGAAUAUAGAGGAUGCAACCAUUAUCCGGAAUGAUUGGGCGUAAAGCGUCUGUAGGUGGCUUUUCAAGUCCGCCGUCAAAUCCCAGGGCUCAACCCUGGACAGGCGGUGGAAACUACCAAGCUGGAGUACGGUAGGGGCAGAGGGAAUUUCCGGUGGAGCGGUGAAAUGCGUAGAGAUGUGGAGGAACACCAGUGGCGAAGGCGACUCUCUGGUCUGUAACUGACGCUGAGGAGCGAAAGCGUGGGGAGCGAACAGGAUUAGAUACCCCUGUAGUCCCUGUCUCUUAUAC